rnacentral:rRNA from 1 species
GACGGGUGAGUAACGCGUGGGUAACCUGCCUUAUACAGGGGGAUAACAGUCAGAAAUGGCUGCUAAUACCGCAUAAGCGCACAGAGCUGCAUGGCUCAGUGUGAAAAACUCCGGUGGUAUAAGAUGGACCCGCGUUGGAUUAGCUUGUUGGUGGGGUAACGGCCCACCAAGGCGACGAUCCAUAGCCGGCCUGAGAGGGUGAACGGCCACAUUGGGACUGAGACACGGCCCAGACUCCUACGGGAGGCAGCAUG